rnacentral:lncRNA from 12 species
UCAGUUGGUAGCAGUCAGUCAGUGGAAUGGUCAGUCAGUGGAGCGGUCAGUCAGUUGGGAGCAGUCAGUCGAGCAGUCCGUUGGUAGCAGUCACAGGAGUGGUCAGUUAGGUAUUGGUCAGUCAGGUAGCGGUCAGUGGAGCGGUCACUUGGUAGCGGUCAGUCAGAGAAGGUGUGAGUGGAGUGGUCAGUCAGUGGAGCGGUCAGUCAGUGGAGCGGUCAGUCAGUGGAGCGGUCAGUGGAGCGGUCAGUCAGUGGAGCAGUCAGUCAGUAGCGGUCAGUGGAGCGGUCAGUCAGUGGAGCAGUCAGUCAGUAGCGGUCAGUGGAGCGGUCAGUCAGUGGAGCAGUCAGUCAGUAGCGGUCAGUGGAGCGGUCAGUCAGUGGAGCAGUCAGUCAGUAGCGGUCAGUGGAGCGGUCAGUCAGUGGAGCAGUCAGUCAGUGGAGCAGUCAGUCAGUAGCGGUCAGUGGAGCGGUCAGU